rnacentral:rRNA from 1 species
CUAUAAUGGAGAGUUUGAUCCUGGCUCAGGACGAACGCUGGCGGCGUGCCUAAUACAUGCAAGUCGAGCGGAGAUAGUGGAGCUUGCUC